UGAGUUUGGGUUUUUAAAAGAAAC
rnacentral:piRNA from 1 species